rnacentral:rRNA from 1 species
CUACGGGUUGCAGCAGUAAGGAAUAUUGCGCAAUGGAGGCAACUCUGACGCGGCCAUGCCGCGUGCAGGAAGAAGGCCUUAUGGAUCGUAAACUGCUUUUAUUUAGGAAUAAACCCCCGAACGUGUUCGGGGCUGAAGGUACUAAACGAAUAAGCACCGGCUAACUCCGUGCCAGCAGCCGCGGUAAUACGGAGGGUGCAAGCGUUAUCCGGAUUUAUUGGGUUUAAAGGGUGCGCAGGCGGGCUAUUAAGUCAGUGGUGAAAUCCCGGGGCUCAACUCCGGAACUGCCAUUGAUACUGAUAGUCUUGAGUUUGGUUGAAGUGGGCGGAAUGUAGCAUGUAGCGGUGAAAUGCAUAGAUAUGCUACAGAACACCAAUCGCGAAGGCAGCUCACUAAGCCAAAACUGACGCUCAUGCACGAAAGCGUGGGGAUCAAACAGGAUUAGAUACCCCAGUAGUC